AUUGAACGCUGGCGGCAUGCUUUACACAUGCAAGUCGAACGGUAACAGGCCUUCGGGUGCUGACGAGUGGCGCACGGGUGAGUAAUGCAUCGGAACGUGCCCAGAGGUGGGGGAUAACGCAGCGAAAGCUGUGCUAAUACCGCAUGUGAUCUGAGGAUGAAAGCGGGGGACCAGGCAGCAAUGUUUGGCCUCGCGCCUUUGGAGCGGCCGAUGUCAGAUUAGGUAGUUGGUGGGGUAAAGGCCUACCAAGCCGACGAUCUGUAGCUGGUCUGAGAGGACGACCAGCCACACUGGGACUGAGACACGGCCCAGACUCCUACGGGAGGCAGCAGUGGGGAAUGUUGGACAAUGGGCGCAAGCCUGAUCCAGCAAUGCCGCGUGCGGGAAGAAGGCCUUCGGGUUGUAAACCGCUUUUGUACGGAACGAAAAGGCUCUGGCUAAUACCUGGGGCUGAUGACGGUACCGUAAGAAUAAGCACCGGCUAACUACGUG
rnacentral:rRNA from 1 species